UGUGUGUGUGUGUACACGUAGGGGAGCAGAGCAGGUCGCAGGUGACGAAGUUACGUUACAGAACGCUGAAAUCCAACCGUGGUUUUUGUCGGGAGAUGCAGUGACUUAAAAUAAAUAAAUCGGUUUGACGUUAGAAGACGCAGACACAGUGGAUAUUUAAGCACCGAUCAGAUUGGAAUGUCGCCGGGCAAAAAUCGCGAUGGAGUCUCUUGACAUUCACCUGGAAGCAAAGGCUCUGAAGGAACUGAAAGGCUACGGAAUAGCUGUUGACUCAGGAAGCUCAUGGCCCCGUCACCCUCCUGGUAACCAUCAAGAGAGUAUCAGACUUCCCUUCUGGUACCAGGAAUCCCCUGGUUACAGCUUGCAACCAGAGCAUCCACGUCUCUUCUGGAGGACUUUCAUGAUCUCAAGCCAAGUUCCUGCCACAUUAUUGUCCGUAUAAUUGUGUAGUUGACCUCCACUCGGGGGCUCCCCUCCCUAACAGCCAGCACUACAACCUCUCUCGACCGGAACAGAAGGCCUUGGAGAAGUACAUCCAGGAAUUAUGUUGUUUGUUUUUUUUGUUUAGAUUAAUGGAAGACCACCUUUAACAGCCCCCUAGGACACUAUGAGUACGAGUACGAGUAUGCCCUGUGGAUUAACUAUUGCCCCCGCAGUGCUCCAGGCUCUUGUAAAUUUACCUAUGACAUCUUGAUUUUUUCCAAGACCCUCCCUGCAAGCAGCGUGUGCACCAGGUUCUCCAACGUCUCCUAGAGAACAAGUUGUUUGUGACAGCAGAGAAAUGGGAUUUUUAUGUUCCCAAAAUUUUAGUUUUUGGUUAUAUCAUUGUACCUGGUGAGGUGCAGAUGGAUCUUGCCAUGGUAAUGGCAGUUACAUAAUAGUCAGCACCCAUCAACCAUAAGUUGUAGCAGUGCGUCCUGGGUUAUCCCAGUUUCCAUUCGAGGAUCAUUAAACAACAGUUGCCUUGCUGCUCCCCUCAUGGCUGUCACCUCCACCUGGAUGCCCUCCAUGUAUCUUCUUCUCCCACAGAGCUUCUCACAGUUAAAUUAGCCCUGGAGGAGUGGUGUCACUCAGUUGUGGAGGAGUGUGGCAACAGCUGUUAAUCAUCAUCAUCAGCCUCCUCUGCUUUAUAUACUGGGCAUCAACUCCACCACACCGCCAGAUAGUAGAUAAAACUAUACAAGAUUCCCGGUCUGACUCUUGCCUUCAUCCCACUCCUGCUCAGCAUGAAUUAUCUGUCUCAUGUACAACUGUCAGGAUAUUGUGACAGUUUUAGAAAAUAUGGAAUAAAGAUAGUUUGAAAAGAA